UUAUCAUACUGGAUCGGAUGCUGUGCAAUAUUAAUAGAAGCUUUGUUAUCACAAUACAGUUUUAUAGACCCUGAUGGUGCUAAUUUCAGCUCCGUCAAGAUUAUCUUUAUCCAUAAUAAUUCACACUCCUUGGGCCAUGGCAUAAAAUUUUGCCUCCGCACUCGAUCUAGCAACAACAGUCAGUUUAUUAUGAAAUAAAAUACUAGAUCAUUCGCUUUGACACCAAAUUUGACGUUGCACUCGUACUCAAUCUAAGCAAUAACAGUGAAUAGAUAAAGAAAUAGAGAAGGGGAGAGGAAAGUUUGGCUUCACACUAGAAUUUUAAAAGAAAGAGGGAAGAAACUAGGUUUUAUUUUUCCAUUCAUAAUCAUUUGUCCCUAGAUUGUAACAAAGUUCUAUCUAAAUAGAGAAAAGAGAAUAAAAUAGAAUAACCCCUAAACAAUAAUAACCAAAUAAAUAAAAAGAAUAAAUAAAAAUACUACAAAAUAAAAUAGGCCCAAUGGGCAUAAUGAAACCAGGUAAGCCCUUUUGGUCCUAUGCCCAUAGAAACGGCUAAUAGUAGGUAUAGGCUCCAUCGAGUUUUCUUCACCCUGGCCACCAACUCCCCCAGGGUGAAGAAAACUCAACUUCAUCGAGUGUGAAGCUGGACGACUCUGAUAAUACUCGAAUAGAUUUCUGUCAAUUUGUUGUAAAUCAUCAUUGGAACCAAAAAACGAUGAACACCACCAUCCUAGUGUUAUUAAAGGCAAGAGGCACAAAAGCCUGUAGAGCCUUAGGCGCGAGGCGAGGCAUUAUGAGCACACAACUUUGAUAGGAAUGUGUUGAGCAAAAGACUCGGUUGACUCUGACACUCUAGUGUGUGGUGACAUAGGCAAAAGAUCUACCGACUUUCUAGGUUUAAACCCUUGAGGCUUGAACAAUUUUAAAAGAACUCAUACCAAUAGACCUAUUGAUAGAACUAUUAUAAACAAACUGAGCAGUAGGAAGAAUAGAAUCCCAAUUCCUAUAACUAUCAUAAGCACCGAAGUUUCCAAGACGUCGAUUGACGACCUCACUUUGGCCGUCAGUUUGCGGAUGGUAGGCUGUAGAGAAUUUGAGUUUGGUUCCUAGCAUGUGCCAAAAGGUUUUCCAGAAAUAACUCAUGAAAUGAACAUUCCUAUCAGAAACAAUGGACUUGGGAAGUCCAUACAAUUUGACGAUCUCAUUAAAAUAAAGCUUGGCAACCUGAGAAGGGUCGGAAGUCUUAGAGCAUGGGAUAAAUUGGGCCAUUUUAGAGAAAUGGUCCACAACGGCAAAAAUAAAAUCGUGCUUCCGAAAUGUAGGAGAAAAACCCAACACGAAUUCCAUGCUAACAUCUUUGCCAAGGACAACUUGGCACAUGAAGUAGUGUAUAAAGGCCAGUGUUUUGGGAGUUGAGAUAAUGCAACGUUUCAUGAUAUGAAUAAAGGACAAAUUCAUACGGAAAUAAAUAAUGCCGCCAAAAGCACAAUGCUUGAACAACUGCAUAGAAUUCCUUAUUAUAAGUGAAGUAUCUUUGCUUCGCGUCAUUUAAUUUCUAUCUAAAGUAAGCAAUGUGAUUUUGCUCUUGACUCAAUACUGUGCCUAUACCAAUACAAGAAGUAUCGCACUCCACUUCAAAUACUUUUGAAAAAAUCUGGGAGACGCAUAACAUGUACUUCAGUCAUUUUCUUCUUAAUCGCCCCAAAUGCUUUGGUUGCUGGAUUUGUCCUUCGAAAUUCACCUUUCUUCAUACAAUCGAUGAUGAGAGACAUGAUAGUGCUAAAUCCUUGAAUAAAUCAACGAUAAAAUGUUACAAGCCCAUGAAAGCUACGAACAUUAUGAAUAGACUUGGGCUCGAGCCAAUCGACGAUCGCCUGAAUUUUUGAAGGGUCAGUAGAUACGCCUUUGGGAAAGACAAUGAAACCUAAGAAGACAACACUAUCCGUGCAAACUGAAUUUCUUAAAAUUGACAAAAAGUUUCUCUUUCCGAAGCGUAUCACAAAUUUGAGCAAGGUGGUCUAAAUGUUUCUCCUUAGAUUUACUGUAAACGAGGAUGUCAUCAAAGUACACUAUCAGGAACUUGCCCAUGAAAGGUCUGAGUACUUGAGUCAUCACUCGCAUGAAGGUUCUUGUAGCAUUAGAAACACCAAACGGCAUGACCAACCACUCAUACAACCCAUCCUUUGUUUUUAAAGCAACUUUCCAUUCAUCCCCUCGACGAAUUAGAAUUUGAUGGUACCCACUUUUUAAAUCAAAUUUGGAAAAAAUAGUGACUCCAACUAUCAUAUCAAACAUAUCAUCAUCUCUAGGGAUGUGAAAACGGUAUUUAAAAGUGAUCUUAUUGAUGGCACGACUGUCUACGCACAUUUUCCAGGAACCAUCUUUCCUAGGAGUUAGAAAUGCGGGGCACGACACAUAGGCUCAUACUCUCCCUAAUGAACUCUUUGCUCAAGAGACCACCAAUCUGGAGGUGAAGCUCGGCUUAAUGGGGUUCAUCCUA
rnacentral:lncRNA from 1 species